AUUCACCAAAUAAAUAUUGAGCCCCUACGAUGCAUGCACCAGGCAUUAGAUAUUGAUAUUUGUAUUUACAUGUGAUGUAGCAGAUUUCAUAUUUUCUAAUUUCUCUACAAUAAAUAUUUAUCAAUUUUCUAACAAAAUAUCACUAUUAAAUUGAAUUUUUUUGAAUUAUAAGAAAAGGCUAACAUCAUAAUAAGGUUGUAUAAAAUAAACUGACAACACAGAAGUUAUUUUGGCCUUGUGUUCCAUAGUGACUCACCAAAUAUACCCUGAAGUGUUUAUUUUAUUUUUUUCUAUUUCACUGUUAAAGCGAGCAGAUGCAUUUCACAUCACAUGGAUCUCGUGGAAACAUGCCAACCAUUUUCUUAGCAACCAAACUCCUGUCUUCUGCACUGUGCAUGAUUAACUACAACAGCCUGUUGACGGCUUAAAAUAAACCUGCCUUUUUCCAUUUAGCAUUUUAUCAAAUGAAUGUAAUUUCAUUUGCUGAUGAAUUUAGUUCAGCUUCAAGGGAAUUUUUCUCUUCUUCAUGGGGAGGCUGAAGAAUCAGAACUGUCAUGCCAAAGAAAGAAAAGCAAGCCUAGGGAGAAAAACAGUCUGAUGUUUACAUGGACUAUGCUCUGCCUCAGAAAACCCAGAGAGUUUGCGACACCAACAUCAGAGUUGACUGGCAAAAGAACAAAACCACUGAGGAACAGUGGGAGGCAGUGGAAAUCAUCCAUCAAAAUGACAAAAGUAACACAAAUAAUUGGAGAGAGCUGUGAGUUACUAUUAAAUAUGUGA
rnacentral:lncRNA from 1 species